UCCUGUCAACAUCAGACCUGCCGGGUCCAAAGAUGCCAUUGUUGACCUGUCCGAUGAUGGACCGGGUCAUCGUCGGCGGGUCUUGGUUCUCUCACUGCCAGACGUCGUGAUCGAGAGCUCCCCAAGCUAUCGUACCAGAGUACAGGGAGACGCUGCCGAACCUGGAGCUAUGGCGCACAGCCGGCAGGGUUCCAGCUGCUCCCGGGACACACUGGGCCCGCUGGAGGGCGAGGCCUCACCCGUGAUGCU
rnacentral:lncRNA from 1 species